rnacentral:rRNA from 1 species
UACGAAGGGGGCUAGCGUUGUUCGGAAUUACUGGGCGUAAAGCGUGCGCAGGCGGCGGCUCAAGUCAGGUGUGAAAUCCCCGGGCUUAACCUGGGAAUUGCGCUUGAAACUAGGCUGCUUGAGUGUGGCAGAGGGGGGUGGAAUUCCACGUGUAGCAGUGAAAUGCGUAGAGAUGUGGAGGAACACCGAUGGCGAAGGCAGCCCCCUGGGUCAACACUGACGCUCAUGCACGAAAGCGUGGGGAGCAAACAGG